rnacentral:miRNA from 1 species
UAGAGAGGAAGGUGGGGA